rnacentral:rRNA from 1 species
GAUGAACGCUGGCGGCGUGCUUAACACAUGCAAGUCGAACGAUGAGGCUCAGCUUGCUGGGUGGAUUAGUGGCGAACGGGUGAGUAACACGUGAGUAACCUGCCCUUAACUCUGGGAUAAGCCUGGGAAACUAGGUCUAAUACCGGAUAGGAGCGCCUACCGCAUGGUGGGUGUUGGAAAGAUUUGGCGGUUUGGGAUGGACUCGCGGCUUAUCAGCUUGUUGGUGAGGUAGUGGCUCACCAAGGCGACGACGGGUAGCCGGCCUGAGAGGGUGACCGGCCCAAUGGGGCUGGGAAAACGCCCCGGCCCCCAAGGGGAGGCAGCGUUGGGGAAAAUUGACAAAGGGGAGAAGGCCGAAUCCAGCAACGCCGCGUGGGGAAUGACGGCCUCCGGGUGUUAAACCCCUUCCCUUAGGGAAGAAGCGAGAGUGACGGUACCUGGAGAAGAAGCACCGGCUAACUACGUG